UACGUAGGUGGCAAGCGUUGUCCGGAUUUACUGGGCGUAAAGAGCGCGCAGGCGGUCGGACAAGUCGCGUGUGAAAGCCCCCGGCUCAACUGGGGAGGGUCACGCGAUACUGUUCGACUCGAAGGCAGGAGAGGGAAGUGGAAUUCCCGGUGUAGUGGUGAAAUGCGUAGAUAUCGGGAGGAACACCAGUGGCGAAGGCGACUACCCGGCCUGUUCUUGACGCUGAGGCGCGAAAGCUAGGGGAGCAAACGGG
rnacentral:rRNA from 1 species